UGACAGUCCCAAACAAUUUUCUUCCAUUUUUUCCGCCCAUAUCAUUAGCAAGUAACCAAUCUUUCCUCUCUCUUCCUUUUUUCUCACCGGCGACCCCUUCCCCUCCUUUUGCUCGCCGGAAAACCGUUGAAGCAAGAGGGAAGAAAGAUGUUACCUGUUGCUGCUGCUGUUUCAUCACCUUACUGGUGUUUUUUGGUCAUACAACCCCGGACUUGGACACUCGCCGCUCAAAACCCUAAGACCAAGCCUCUCCAUCGUUGACAACCUUGCAAUAACCUCAUUGGGCUUAAACUUUCCAGCUUUGAUCUGGUCGCUUCAGGUGAGCUCAAGGCGGAGAUUUUUGCAUUUUUGGACUUUACGCUUCUCAAGCUAUGCGUGGGUACCUUCGGAUCCGAUUUCCGACGCCGUUGAAAAUACCAGCUUUCAAACCCCUGUACUUUU
rnacentral:lncRNA from 1 species